rnacentral:lncRNA from 1 species
AUUUUCAUUCCAAAAACCAUCCUCAUUGCAGCGCAAAAGCUUAAAGAACACCAAAAUUAAUUUUGGUGUUCAUCAGCAAGGUAAGAACACACAAUCCUUCCAAGAAAACUUUUACGUUCUUUGACAUGUCAGUUUAUGAUUUACCUAUUUAGUUAGGUAAUAGAGUUUUCUUUGACAUUUUGGCAUAUAUGAAUGUGUGUGCUAUUUGUUAUUUAGAUAACUUGUUUUUUUCUGAAUUCUAUUAAAAUUUUAAUAUAAAAGAUGCUAUUUGUUGGGUCUCAAUUGUAUUUAGGAUCUUUGUUGUUUUGAGUUGUAUCUUUUUAAUUAUUUGAAAAAUAUUUGAUUAUAAAUAUAAGAUAUUAUCUUUGAUUCAGAUUAAUGGAAAAUGUGAAGAGGAUUGAUUCAAUAUAUAUUUAUUAUUUUGGAUACAUUAUAUUCAAAAUUCUUAAUUUCAUAGUGCUUCUUGUGGUGCAUUAUAUAACUUCUGGAGUGAAGAAACAAGGAAAUCAUUGUAUAAGAUAAAAUGGUAUUUUAUUUAUACUUAUAUUAUUUGUAUUUUUCUGAUUAAUUUUUUCUUUUGCUAAAUGAAAUAACUUGUCAAUGCUAUUUUGAAUAAUUUUUUUAAUAUAGAUGCUUUUUUUUUUUUGAUAUAUUACCUUUCUUCAUUAUAAUGUUGCAACAUAGAAAGAAAACAUGAGAAUGAGAAUGAGAAUUUACUAACGGUUUAGACAUUUGAUAGUUUUAUUUGAAGAAAGAUUGUAGUAUGAAAUUGUAGGGGUUUUUUUUUAUUGGUUUUAAUUUGUUUGGUUAUAUUCGAAAUUUAAGCUUUUUUGAAGGUGAAAAUAUGAACAAGUUCCCAAAUUUUGAGGAUCCAUAUAAUUAUGAAGAGUGAAAUGUUAUUUGCUACUGUGGGAGUAAAAUGCCUGGACACACUUCAUGGAAAGAUCGCAAAGUGGGUAAGGGAUUUUAUGGGUGUAGAAAUUACAAAGUUUGCUCUAGUGAUAAUAAUUUGCAUCAAGAUUUCGUAGUGGAUUAGAUAUUAAUUUUUGGAAAUAUGUAGGUUCGCAGAUGUAAUUUUUUUUAUUGGUAUCAUCCUCUUAAAGAUAAUGUACGAGCGAAAGAAAUGAUGAUUUGUUUAAGAGAUGCUUACAAAGUAAUAGCGAAGGAGAAUGCAAAGUUAUAAACUCAUAAUAGAGUGUUGAUAUAAAUUAGGACUCUGAAAGUUGAAGUUGAUUUGUUAGAAGAAAAGUUAAAGGAUAACAUAGCCAACGAACGGAAAUUAGUGAACAAGUAGAACUUAUACAAAAUUGCAUUAUUAUUAUUAUUAUUAUUAUUUGUGUGUGUGGAUUGUUAACAUUAGUGAAGAAAUAAAGGAAAAUGCAUAUAAGUGGUGAUGUGUAUUUGCACUCAAAAUGUGUGUAAUGUGUUGACAGUUAUAAUUUGACAAUGG